UAGAGACUCAGAGCUGCAUAUCAAUAAGCGGAGGAAAAGAAACUAACAAGGAUUCCCUUAGUAACGGCGAGUGAAGCGGGAAGAGCUCAAAUUUGAAAUCUUCAAGGGUUUCCCUUGACGAAUUGUAGUUUAAAGAAGUGUUUUCUGUUAGAGAGGUGGUAAAAGUUCUUUGGAAUAGGACAUCAUAGAGGGUGAGAAUCCCGUAUUUGAUCACUUUCUACUAACGUUGUGAUACACUUUCAAAGAGUCGGAUUGUUUGGGAAUGCAGUCCAAAAUGGGUGGUAAAUUUCAUCUAAAGCUAAAUAUUGGCGAGAGACCGAUAGCGAACAAGUACCGUGAGGGAAAGAUGAAAAGAACUUUGAAAAGAGAGUUAAACAGUACGUGAAAUUGUCAAAAGGGAAGCGUUUGACACCAGUGUUGUUUUUCCGAAAAUCAAUUACGAAUGUUUUGUUUUUAAGAAGUUAUGACUUCAUCGGCUUGCUUCUUUCUUUACGAAACUUUCUUAAUGCACUUUUCGGUUAACAAGUCAACAUCAAUUUCUUUUGUUGUAAAAGGGUAUGAGGAAGGUGGCUUUCUUUUCGGAGAAAGUGUUUAUAGCCUUGUGCCUCUGCAAUCGGAGAGAUUGAGGUCUGCAGCGUAGAUCCUUCGGGGCUAGAUACGUUUGUGCUAAGUUAUAGCUUUUCAUAGACAACUUGUUGACUUACGUUAGUCUUGUAGCUUACUCGCUGAUGCUAUUUUACCUACGCUUAGGAUGUUGAAGAUAUGCGCGACACG
rnacentral:rRNA from 1 species